UACAGAGGGUGCGAGCGUUGUUCGGAAUUAUUGGGCGUAAAGGGCGCGUAGGCGGUGCGGUAAGUCACCUGUGAAAUCUCCUGGCUCAACUGGGAGCUUGCAGGCGAAACUGCCGUGCUGGAGUGUGGGAGAGGUGCGUGGAAUUCCUGGUGUAGCGGUGAAAUGCGUAGAUAUCAGGAGGAACACCGGUGGCGAAGGCGGGUCUCUGGGCCGACACUGACGCUGAGGAGCGAAAGCGCGGGGAGCAAACAGG
rnacentral:rRNA from 1 species